rnacentral:rRNA from 1 species
UACGGGGGGAGCAAGCGUUGUUCGGAUUUACUGGGCGUAAAGGGCGCGUAGGCGGUCACGACAAGUCAGUUGUGAAAUCUCCGGGCUUAACUCGGAACGGUCAACUGAUACUGUCGGACUAGAGUGCAGAAGGGGCAACUGGAAUUCUCGGUGUAGCGGUGAAAUGCGUAGAUAUCGAGAGGAACACCUGCGGCGAAGGCGGGUAGCUGGGCCGACACUGACGCUGAGGCGCGAAAGCCAGGGGAGCGAACGGG